AUGAACGCUAGCGGCAGGCUUAACACAUGCAAGUCGGAGGGGCAACACGGGUAGACAAUACCUGGGUGGCCGACCGGCGCAAGGGUGCGUAACGCGUGAGCAACAUGCCCUAUACAGGGGGAUAAUCCAGGGAAACUUGGUCUAAUAUCCCAUAGUAUUUAGAGGUGGCAUCACCACUAAAUUAAAGCUUCGGUGGUAUAGGAUUGGCUCGCGUGACAUUAGCUGGAUGGUGGGGUAACGGCUCACCAUGGCGAUGAUGUCUAGGGGUUCUGAGAGGAAGACCCCCCACACUGGGACUGAGACACGGCCCAGACUCCUACGGGAGGCAGCAGUGAGGAAUAUUGGACAAUGGAUGGAAAUCUGAUCCAGCCAUGCCGCGUGCAGGAAGACGGCCCUAUGGGUUGUAAACUGCUUUUAUAUGGGAGCAAUAAGGUUUACGCGUAGACCGAUGAGAGUACCAUAUGAAUAAGCAUCGGCUAACUCCGUG
rnacentral:rRNA from 1 species